GUGUUUGCCCCCUGUUAAAACUGUGUUUUUUUCACACCUAAGGUUAAUUUCUAUCACCACACCCAGGCCUGAUUACUGCCACACCUGUUCACAAUCAAGAAAUCUCUUAAAUAGGACCUGCCUGACAAGGUGAAGUAGACCAGAAGAUCCUCAAAAGCUAGACAGCAUGCCGAGAGCUAAAGCGAUUCAGAAACAAACGAGAAAGAAAGUAAUUUAGAUUUAUCAGUCUGAAAAAGGCUAUAAAACAUUUUUAAAGCUUUGGGAUUAGAUGUAAAGCUAAUGUACAUAUAAUGACUAGGAGAUUAUUUUAUAACCUUCUCUUGAUCAUUAGCUGGUACAUUAAGCAGUUGGAUGAAACAAACAAAGAAAAUAAUUCCUACAGAAACAUCUGAUCCUUAUUUGGGGUUAUUCAGAUUCACUUGAUUUAUAACAGGUUUAUGAAAUUACAUUUCUACAUGAGUUUAAAUGUGAAGAGAUCAUUUAAAGCAGCCAGAUUCCACAUUAUAAACUAUCAUAUAAACUUUUGUAACACUGAUAUUGUCAUUUUUAUCUAAAAAAUGCUUUUAUUUCUUGCCAUGCCAUUUCAUGCCAUUUUCACAAGGGUGUGCAAUUUUUUCAUAUAUUUAUUGUAGAUAAAUAAAUGCAGAAUGUCUGGAGAUCAUGACAUCACAAAAUGUAAAUAGCAGCAUUAAUACAUACAGAUUCGGUGUCUGUUUUUUUUUUCCCCAGCAGGUACAGAGUCUGUUGUCCAGUAUUCUGUCCAAACUCAGGAAGUGGCCAAGGGGUUUCUCUUGCUGUCUGAUUAUGAGGAGAUUAAAGACACCAAACAAUUUUUUGCCUCAGAAGCUGAAACUUCCACAGUUUACUCAACUGCUUAACUACCCACAAUCCCCUCUGAGUCUUCUCAAACUGUUUAUGCAGAGAUAGUUUCCUACAAUCUCCAGUGAUUCUGCUAUUUAUUCUACUGCUCAACUACCCACAAUCCCCUCUGAUCAGGAAAUCUACCUGACAGCUCAGUUAUCCACAAUCCUCUCUGCUGAGAAAUCUGUUAAAGGUUUGACUCAUGCUACAGUGAGUUCUCACUCCAAUACCACCAGCUGUAAUGAUGCAGUUCCACAGAUUGUUGAAGACUUCUUUUCUGUCUACACUUCAGUCAGUCACGUGACUUCAUCUGUUUAGUUCUGCAUCAUUAGGGCUUCAGUCAUGUGGCAGUGGAACUUUACUAUUUAAUUCAGAUUACAUUUUUCUUUCUUUUUCCUUCUCUGUCCCUCCCUCAAAACAAUGAUGUGAUCACAUGAUGUGACAAUGAUGACAGAACAGAACAAAUCUUUACUGUGAGUAUUAGAAAUGUAACUGUAACAGACUCUGGUGAAUUCUGGUGUGAAGCAAAAGCAGCCUGGACAUCUGAUCAUGGAUACAGGGUUUAUUUUAAACAGAUCAACGUAACAGUUACUGGUGAGUUUGUAGAGACAUGGAGACACACUGCAUUAACACUUUGUGUGAAGCAUAGAGUCAGCACACAUCCUAACAUCCUAACAUCCGCCUGGGAUAUUAUUGGUAAUUAGUAAAUAGAACAAUAAUGGCAGUACAAAUAGAGCAGUUAUAACAAAGUUUAUUACCACAUGGAACUGAAGUGACGAGACUGCUAUUUUAAUUUUCUAAAUUCUGUGUUUUCAAAAUAAACUCAUUUAAACCUUCACAAUUUAGGUUUAAAUAUUCGUAUUAUGCUCACAGUCUCUCACAGUUGUUUCUCUUUUUUUUGUUGUACACGUAUAUUUUUGUUUCACUUUUAAUUCUUGUGAUUAAACCUGUACUGCUGCAGUACCUGUAAAUAUCAGUGGUGUACUUUUAUUAUGUUGAACACCAAUGAAUUAAAGCUUUGGUAAUGGAUAACAUUUAUUUCCAUUUAUUUGGUGUCAUGAUUUCAGCUGUGAAUCUGAUUGGUACUUCAACACUGUGGAAUUAAUCUUGUUAAAGCUCCAGUGAAUGUAAAUUAAGAGAUAAUUUGUAUAACUUGAGUCUUUGUUGGUGUUAAAGUUCUGCUUGAUGUUUUAUUUCAUUAGAAUAAGAGUUUAUUGUUGUAAAAGAAAUGUUUUAAGGGUUUCCCUUGAUGUUGUUCAUUACAUUAUUGUUGAAUUUGUUCAAUCUACUAUCCAGCAUUGGUUAUCCUUCAUCUAAAAGCUCUGUAGCUAAUCAUCAAGCCUGUGUUUGUGCUGUAAGUGUGAGUUUGACAAUAAAACAGCAAAUGCAUUGUUUUACCAGA